rnacentral:piRNA from 1 species
UGCCACUCUGCUUCAACAGCAUGCCCUGUA